rnacentral:rRNA from 1 species
CCUACGUGUAGCAGCAGUGGGGAAUAUUGGACAAUGGGCGAAAGCCUGAUCCAGCCAUGCCGCGUGUGUGAAGAAGGCCUUCGGGUUGUAAAGCACUUUCAGUGGGGAAGAAAGCCUUGGGGCUAAUACCCUCGAGGAAGGACAUCACCCACAGAAGAAGCACCGGCUAACUCCGUGCCAGCAGCCGCGGUAAUACGGAGGGUGCGAGCGUUAAUCGGAAUUACUGGGCGUAAAGCGCGCGUAGGCGGUCUGAUAAGCCGGUUGUGAAAGCCCCGGGCUCAACCUGGGAACGGCAUCCGGAACUGUCAGGCUAGAGUGCAGGAGAGGAAGGUAGAAUUCCCGGUGUAGCGGUGAAAUGCGUAGAGAUCGGGAGGAAUACCAGUGGCGAAGGCGGCCUUCUGGACUGACACUGACGCUGAGGUGCGAAAGCGUGGGUAGCAAACAGGAUUAGAUACCCGUGUAGUC